UACGGGGGGGCAAGCGUUGUUCGGAAUUACUGGGCGUAAAGGGCGCGUAGGCGGCCUACUAAGUCGGACGUGAAAUCCCUCGGCUCAACCGAGGAACUGCGUCCGAUACUGGCAGGCUGGAAUCCGGGAGAGGGAUGUGGAAUUCCAGGUGUAGCGGUGAAAUGCGUAGAUAUCUGGAGGAACACCGGUGGCGAAGGCGGCAUCCUGGACCGGUAUUGACGCUGAGGCGCGAAAGCUAGGGGAGCAAACGGG
rnacentral:rRNA from 1 species